rnacentral:piRNA from 1 species
UGAGGAAUGGCUCUGGACAGAAGAGGGA